GACGAUCGCUGGCGGCGUGCCUAACACAUGCAAGUCGAGCGGGGUCCAUCCGGUAGCAAUACCGGGGAAGACCUAGCGGCGAACGGGUGAGUAACACGUGAGAAACCUGCCCCGAAGUCUGGGAUAACCCGAGGAAACUCGAGCUAAUACCGGAUGUCUUCUUCUGAUCGCAUGGUCGGAUGAAGAAAGAUUUAUCGCUUCGGGAGGGUCUCGCGGCCUAUCAGCUAGUUGGCGGGGUAACGGCCCACCAAGGCGUCGACGGGUAGCUGGUCUGAGAGGACGAUCAGCCACACUGGGACUGAGACACGGCCCAGACUCCUACGGGAGGCAGCAGUGGGGAAUAUUGCGCAAUGGGCGAAAGCCUGACGCAGCAACGCCGCGUGCGGGAUGAAGGCCUUC
rnacentral:rRNA from 1 species